rnacentral:SRP_RNA from 1 species
UGUUGGUUCUCUUGAAAUGCUAUCUUGUAAACUCGGUCAGAUCUGGAAGGAAGCAGCCGUAGCAAGUGAUGUAUGUGCCAAGAUGCUGCUAUCAGGA